CAGUAAUUAAUCUCACCACCAGCGCUGUUUUUAACCUCACCGGAGCUAAACACACCGCCCAUCCAAACUAAGCCUAAAGAAUUCGUGAAUUUUAAACAGACUUUUAGAUGAUGGAGAAAGCAGCAAUGGAAUCAUCAAACAGCAACAACAGAAUCUGCAGAAUCUUUGUCGAAAAUUUUCCAAGGCUCCCAAUUUGCACUGUAAAUAUUGCACGCCAUCAUCACACCAGAAGCGAUGGAAUCGCCGUUGGUGAUUGGUUUAAGGUAACAAAAAAGGAUUUCUUCUUUAGUGGGGAGAAAUUGAAACCCUAUAGGAAUCUGAAACUGUGACAUAAUGGGGGUUUCGUUUCAAUACACAACAAAGUGGUGGUGAUGGUGAUAGACGAAGAGAAAGAUGAGAUUAAUUUGGUGAUUUUCAAAGGAAUUUCUAAAAGGUCUCCAAACUCAACUUUACACCCAAACCUUAUAUACCCAAUUAGGGUAUUUCUGAUAUCAGUGCAUACAAUGGUUAUUUGACUUCUCUUCUUGUUUCUUGUUUCUGCUUCUUUUUCAAAUAAACUUCCAAAGUCAACAAACUUGGAAGCUGAAAUCAUUCUUUGUAACUACUGAAGGCCAAAUCAACAUGCAAAAGAAUCUGAUAAUAGAUGGAUAAUUCACUUGUUUCAUUUCCUUUUUAAAUAUUUGAAUGUUACUCUUCAAAAGAACUGCUUUAAGAAUCUGGACAUACGGAAAAUAAAAUUGAAAAAGGCAAGAAAACGCGGAUUGAGAGCAACUUACCUGAUCUCGGAAAAAAAAAAGAGACAUGGUGAUCCUAAGAGCGGUGUUAUUCGUUCAAAGUGAAAGCGAUUUUAGCUUUGAAAGAGGAAUCAAUGCAUCAAAAACAGUAGUGAAAAUAGCAGUGAAAAGUGUUCCUAACCUCAAUUCUACGUGUUCUGUACUUCAAUUCUCUGCACCGAAAACAACAGUGGUAAGUGAUAAAGUUAGAGGACUCAAUUGAAUGGAACCAUUCCUGCAAUUUUUGGGCCGAUUACAAGUUUGCAAGUUGUUGACUUUUCUUUCAAUAAGUUCAGUGGUGAAAUUCCAAAUGAGUCAGGCGAAAAUUGUGGGAGUCUAAUGCAUCUCCAUAUUGCAAGUAAUGGACUUUCAGAUUCAAUUUCGUCCAACUUGGGUAACUGAGUUGUCAAUGUCAUAUAUGGAUCUGGUUGGACUGUACUCUUCUUUCUUUUAUAGGAAUGCUCUCAUAAAUGUUGGUUCUGGUCCUUCCCCAUUUUCGUUGAGUGAAUUCGCUGUAUUACAUGUUUUUGGCAGGAAUCAGUUCCUCCCUUUAUUAUUUCUUUACAUACUUUGUCUGCUAAGUUGAAUUAUGUUUUCUGUAUAUUCUUUUGAUCCUUGUCUAAGGUUAGAUGGUUUGAUAUUUGAUGCUAGCAACAACAAAAUCGUAGGUGAACUUCCUUUAAACAUGGGUCACACUUGCAAAUGCUUGAAAAUUUUUAUUCUAGCGAGCGAUGAAUUUGUUGGCUCGAUUCCUACAUCAUUCACUGACAUGGUUUCUCUGCUUAAGCUUAUCCUCAGUGGAAACAGAUUGCGAGGUCACAUAUAUUUGAGAGACGAAUGAGAUAAGGUACCUCUCGCUUUCUUAUAAUAACUUUUUUAGGCGCGAUGCCUCGAGAUUUAGUUUGACUGUCAUUUUUACGAAUCGCUGAUUUAAUAUCGCGACCUUCGAUUUUCUA